UGAACGCUGGCGGCAUGCCUUACACAUGCAAGUCGAACGGCAGCACGGGAGCUUGCUCCUGGUGGCGAGUGGCGAACGGGUGAGUAAUACAUCGGAACGUACCCAGUAAUGGGGGAUAACGCACCGAAAGGUGCGCUAAUACCGCAUACGACCUACGGGUGAAAGCGGGGGACCGUAAGGCCUCGCGUUAUUGGAGCGGCCGAUGUCUGAUUAGCUAGUUGGUGGGGUAAAGGCCUACCAAGGCGACGAUCUGUAGCUGGUCUGAGAGGACGACCAGCCACACUGGGACUGAGACACGGCCCAGACUCCUACGGGAGGCAGCAGUGGGGAAUUUUGGACAAUGGGGGCAACCCCGAUCCAGCAAUGCCGCGUGAGUGAAGAAGGCCUUCGGUUGUAAGACUCUUUGUUCAGGAAGAACAGACAGCUCUACACAGUCUGCGAAUAGACGGUACGUCGAAGAAUAAGGACACCGGCCGUAACCGUAACGUCGCCGACGCGACGC
rnacentral:rRNA from 1 species